rnacentral:lncRNA from 1 species
UGCUGGGGAUGGAGAAUGCUAGGGCCAAAGUGGAAAAAGAAGAAGGAGAGGAAGAAGAAAAAGAAAGGAGGAGAAGCAGGAGGAGCAACAGCAGCAGCUGCAGCAGCUGCAGUAGCCAAAGUAUCCUCUGCCUUUUAGCAUCCCAAACACACCCUAAGAAUUCUGCACACGAAGAUUCAGCAGAGAUCCAGGCAUGGAAAUGAUUUUAAGUGAGCCUGACAGACACUCGAUAGCAUGUGGAAUUUUCAGAGGUUUUCUGGUACCCAGAGAAACUCUUGAAUUGCCAGCAACGUGGAACUCAAGUUGAGACUGCCAACCACGGACACCACUCCAUCUGCAGGCUCCCUGUUUCUGGAAUAAUCAUCAGAGUGUGAGAGGAUACAGAACUCUGGGCAACUGGGCAACUCCCCUUGUUAAAUCUCCCUGGCUCCUGGGACCAAGCUCCAGGCAGACGCGUGGCUGGUCCUUUCUUCACACUAAGUCAUGUCUGGCUGGCUUCUCACCACUUCCCCAGCUAUAGCUAGAUUUGUGUGGCUAUAAUAAUCUUCUCUCUUUCUCUCUCUCUCUCUCUCUCUCUCUCUCUCUCUCUCUCUCUCUCUCACCCUUCACCUCUCACCAAGUUCUUUUAUAAAAGAAAAUUUUUUAUUAUUUUAUUUUUACUUUAUGUGCAUUAAAGUGAGGAUGUCAGAUACCAUGAAACUGGAGUUACAGAUAGUUGUGAGCUGCCAUGUGAGUGCUUAGAAUUGAACCUGGGUCCUUUGCAAGAACAACCAGUGCUCUUAACCAUGAUCCAUCUCUCCAGCCCCCACCAAGUUCUUAUAAUCCAUUUCUUGCCACUAAAGAAAAAAAUUCCCCUAGAAAACACAAGAAACCUGUUAGGAGCAGCCAUUGUGGGAAAACAUUGAAUUCAUUUAUAUGCUUUAUCAACACCAGUAAAGCAGCCCUACUGAGUGCAGGACUGAGCCAGCAUCUGACACAAUUAACACACAUACACACACACACACACACACACACACACACAUACACACACACAUACACACACACACAUACACACACACAUACACACACACACACAUACACACACACAUACACACACACACACACACACACACACACACACACACACACACCGUUCUCCACACUGAACUAUGAGUCUGAGAAGCCUCCAGUGAGCCCUGACAGCACAACACCCCAGAGUACUCACAGGAGAAGGGACAACAGCGUGGUGUGGAUAUUCGUUCUGGGUAGCUGAGAAUGGUCUCCCAUCAAUCUCAGUUACCACAAUGCUAGGAAAUUCCCCACUAAAAUAUUAUUAGCUUGUUAAAGCUUUGUCAGGUCUUAGGAACCCCAAAUUAGCAUUUCAUCGAAGCAGAGAGAUACGGUCUCCUCUGUAAUGUGCGACGGUGUCCAGGCCCUAAGCUGCAGAAAGUUAAUUAAUUGCUGUCUGACAUGCUAAUGAGUGUUCAGUGUCUUCUCUCCAGCUCUGACUUACUCAGAGAGCCUCGUGUUGGCCCAAGAAGCUCUCGGCUUGCAUUCCUGCAUGGUGGACUAUAUGACAAAAAUGGACACAAUUUACUUUGAAAGGAAAUUUUUGUUGAGGCAAAGAAUAAAAAAAUGUUU